CAGCAGCAGGAAAUGAGAGCCUUCCCUGGAGUCCUUCCCAGGAAAGCUGUGGAAAACCUGGAGCUGAACCCAGACCCAGGAGACACAGAAUGGCCCCAAAACGAGUGAUGGGGUGGGCCAGGAACCGCCCCCAGGAAGCUCAGUUGGAAAACUCAAUCAGCACAAGGGAUGCUGAGGGAAACGGGGACAUUCCAGGCCAAACCCUCCCUGCCUCUCCCAGAGACCCAGGAGCUCUGCAGCUUCCCUGCUGCUGCUUCCAGCAGUGCCUGGAUGGGAGGAUUUUGUGCCGUUUCAGGCUGAGGAUGAAAGGGAGAAAUGGUUGAACACCCCGAGCUCCGACGGGAGCAGCAGCAGGAGCCGCGCUGAUGGAAAUGGCCCAAAUCGAUGGUGGGUUUAGGGAGGUUCUUUUCAUUGUUGGCUGCAAGAUUUCAGUGAAAGCUUUUCUAAACAUGUAUUUCAGGAGAAGGCAAAGACUUCUUGCAGGGUGAACCAAAUAUGAAAUUACAGAUCUUGAAGGAGAACUGCACUUGUAAAAUGAAAAACAUGAUGUGGCACAGCAAAAAUGGGACCAUUGUCCUGAAGGCUUUGGAUCUGGCCUUUAAAGUGUAGUUUGGGGAUUAAUCAUCAAAUGGUUUUGUCAUAGCAAUUUGACUCAAGUGGUUCUUUGCUUAUAUUGAAGACUUAAAUUACACACUCAUUGUCAAUGAAAUAAUUUUAAAUAAUGCAGCUGUUAAAGUUGCCUGGUUUGACUGUUGGACUUUCAGUAUUUGCUGGGUAAUAUCUGCUUCUUCACUCCUUCCUCUUCAUCUGGAGGCCUCUCCUCCAAAUGAGAUCUGGCCCAAGGGGGACUUUAAUCUUCUCCAGACACCAGCUCUGCACUCCCAUGUGCACUUGAGGUUUGGAGCACUCUCAACACCCACCAAAAUGACCAGGUAAAGACUUGAGUUCCUGCUGGUAAACCCAGCAUGGAGGACCUGGCCACCCAAGGCAAAGGUGGAGGUGGAAUGGGUCUGCUUCCCACAGGGAUUGUACUAAUAGUAACUUUUUACUUCUCCUGAUUUUGUAGAGUGUGUUCAGAGAAUCAUAGGAUGACUAAGGUUGGAAAAUACCUCCAAGAUCAUCAAGUCCAACCUUCCCUAGAUGUGAAUAAUACCAUAAUUAUAUUGGUAUAGAAAUGGAAAAUGAACUCCAAAAUAUUUUGAUCUGGAGAAUUUGAGUUUAGUUCUAGUGGGAAUUAAGCAGAAGAAUUUUCAAGUAAUUUAUGUUUGAAAUGCCUUCAUAACUUGUGCUUCAUAAAAACAGAGAGUGACAUAAAAUGACAGUAAAACUCCCAUUUUGGAACUGGACAUUCUCCCUCCUGGCAGUAAAGAGCAAAGGUAAUUUGCUGUGUUUCAGAGAGGUUGUCAGUAGUUACUGUGACUUCAAAUGAUGUCACAGGAACACUGAGACAUCUCCAUCCUGCGACUCCCAGGAGGUGCUUUGAUGGUGAGUUGGUGAUUUAUGGCUCUGAAUUAGAGUUUGUGGUUAGAAUUAAUGUCCUGGGCAGCAACAACAAAACCUCUGCAGGCUCCCCUGGUUCCCCCAGGCCAGGGGCUGGGCAGGGGCCUGGGCUGCCCUGUCCUGGCCCUGCUCAAAGCUUUGCCCUUUGGAAAUCCGGGCAGGAGCUGCCUCUGUUGACGUGGGACCUCCUUAUGUAACCCUCUUGCUACUGGAGCACCUCGGUGUAAAUGGAAAAGUUAAGAAGAAAAUACAAGAAGAAACACAAGAGGGUUUUUUUCCCUCCUUAAGUGCUCUCAUGGGUUUGCUGUCUUUUACUUGUUCCUCUCUUCUCCAAAAUUAAAUCUUUUCCUUUUUUACCCCUCAAAAAGCAUGAAAAGGAAAAUUGCUAAUGAAUCAAAACACAAGAAAAGUUAAUGGUUGUGUCCAGAACACUGAUUUGUCUUUGUGGGUGUGGCAGAACUAGAACUGGAGCCCACGUGGAGUUUCCAUCCAGUGCUGCUCUGCACUCAUCAGCCAUCCCUCCAAUUAAUUAACUGCCUGAAAUUAAUAUACAGACCAGCAUCACUUUUAAUUUCAUUUUCUGUUUCUCCAAACUGAAUUGCCUUUAAUAAAAACCUUAUAAAAAGCAGAUUUUCUCUUAUCUUCUCCUGCCAACCCUGAGCCACCAUUGGUAUGUUUUACAAUACUCGGUUUGAUUGAGCCAGAGUUACACCCUGAGUUAAUGAACAAGGCAGAGUGGGAAUAUAAGACAACUUUUCAGCCUACAGAUAAUGCAGAACACUGUCAAAUGGGUAAUUCAAGAGAAAGAAGAAAGCCUCUCAAAGUUUAACACAAAAAUAAAUGAUGGGUUUAGCACUGCUACAGGAACAUUGCAUUUCCCAGAAGUAAAAGCUUGUUGGGAUCUGGGUCAAGAGAAAAAAAAAAUUGUAAAAUUAAGCAACACUUCAAAGUUUGGAUUUAUUAGAAGUGAGUGAAGUUCAUUGUCACCUGGUGCAGACAAGGUUUUCUUAAGGGCUGGGGAGUUUGUGUUUGACUUUAUUCUUAAAUAUUUACAAGAAAACUAACCACUGUGUUUUGGUUCUGUAAAUAUUGACAGCAGGUUUUCAUCUUUCAUUAGGAGGACCAAUAUUUGCUGGAUUGGAUCCGUGACCCUCAGGUUAAGUGCACAGAGAGAUGGGACAGGGAUCUUCUCGCUGCCGUGAGGGUUCAAACUGGGUGAUUCCAGUGAAACUAAAGGGAGGGAAAUGGGGGAGUUGUGGACCUUUUCUAUUAAAAUACACCAAAAGUUUGAGUGAGAGAUGCUCUUCUCCCUGAGAUCACAUGUCCCAGGUGUCUCCUGACUGUGGCUUUCAGGCUGAUGUGGGUCUGGUUUCUCCUUCUCUCUGCCUUUGUUUUGGUGACAACGUUCUCUUGAGGGAGCUUGGCUGAUGCUGCACCCCUUGCUGGCCCUGCUGAGCUUUACAUUUGGAGUUUUAUAUCCAUGGAGGUUUGUGAAAAUCCUCUUCAUUUUUGCAAGCCCUUAUUUAAGUCCCAGGUACUUAAUUAUCCACUGUGGCCAAGCUCAGCAUCCUUCCUAGAGGUGUCACAAGUGCAUCUUGGCUCAAAAAUCCAAAAUCCUUGAGUAAACUUUGCACCUAAAUUUUGGGGUUGGAUUUGGUUGGUCUAUGAGCUGUAAAUUCCUAAAGAGCAUUUGUCUAUAGAGUCAUAACAUGAGUCAAAGGCCUGACUUUUUAAAGGAAUUCCAUGUUUCCCACCUGAAGUAAUCAGGGAAGACAAUACAGAGUGAUUUUCAAGAACUCCAGUUCCUUUGGUUUGAAUGUUCUGUGUGAUUUGCUAGUCAGAAAUUCCAUCAUGUUUUGUACCACUCCUCAAAAAUCUCAGCUGCAGUUUUUUCCCUCCUCAGAGCUGUCUUGUGCAUGACAAACCCCACAUUGUUCCUGUGUGUUCUUCUGCAUUUAUUUCAUGUCAUCUUCUUCCAGGAAAGAAAAAAACCCAGAGCUUCUCUCACUUAGCACCCUUUGGGACAGCAGCUGUAGAUGAAGAGCAAGCAAUCAACAUGUCAGGAUAAAAUUAGAUUGCCACGGAGUACAAGGUCUCUGGUUACCAGUAGCUGUCUCCUGAAGGGAGCCAUGAGGAUGUCUGAGGCCUGGCUGGGGUUCCUGUGGGGGUACUGAGCCAAGGAGGUGUUUAACCCUCGGGCAUCGCAAUUUGUGCCACGUGGAAUCUUCAGCUGUUGGAAUGUCCUGUGGUAUUAUCAGAAAUUCCCUUUCCAAGUCUGCUGAGCUCCUGAUGCCCAGGAUGUGAUCUAUCAGAAGGAAAGCAGCCCUGAAAGGAGAUGCAGGAGAUCCUCCUGUGAUGGAGAUCGCACCGCUCCCAGAAGGAUGCCAGUGAUGAGGCUGAUUCCUUGCUGGCAAAACCUUUCCUUAUCCAGGAGCAAUUUGGCUGAAUCCACCAUCUUAUUU